UCGUCCAGCAUCAUUAAUGAAAAAAAAAAAAUAGUAAAUCAUUUACUGUCUCACUUUUUUUACAAAAGAAAAGUGAUGAAUAAUUUACUAUUUUUCUAUUUUCUAUAUAGUAUUCUUACAACUGCAUAAAAAUUUCAGCAAUUCACGUACAAUCACAAUAACUAAAAAAUUCCAACAAUUAAAUAAAAAUUUCAAUAAUCCACAUAUAUUCCUAAUCAACUUCAUAAAGAUCCUCACAAUGCAUACAAAAAAAAAAAAUUAUAAACAAUAAUAACAAUCUGAAAACGAUGAAUAAUUUAGUACUUUAUAAAGGCGGUAAAUGAUUUACUGUCUUUCUCAUUUUUGUCCAACAUAGUGAUGA
rnacentral:lncRNA from 1 species